AUGCAAGUCGAACGGAGCUUAGAGAGCUUGCUUUUUAAGCUUAGUGGCGAACGGGUGAGUAACGCGUGAGUAACCUGCCCUAGAGUGGGGGACAACAGUUGGAAACGACUGCUAAUACCGCAUAAGCCCACGGUACCGCAUGGUACUGAGGGAAAAGGAUUUAUUCGCUUUAGGAUGGACUCGCGUCCAAUUAGCUAGUUGGUGAGGUAACGGCCCACCAAGGCGACGAUUGGUAGCCGGACUGAGAGGUUGAACGGCCACAUUGGGACUGAGACACGGCCCAGACUCCUACGGGAGGCAGCAGUGGGGGAUAUUGCACAAUGGGGGAAACCCUGAUGCAGCGACGCCGCGUGGAGGAAGAAGGUUUUCGGAUUGUAAACUCCUGUCGUUAGGGACGAUAAUGACGGUACCUAACAAGAAAGCACCGGCUAACUACGUGCCAGCAGCCGCGGUAAAACGUAGGGUGCAAGCGUUGUCCGGAAUUACUGGGUGUAAAGGGAGCGCAGGCGGGAAGACAAGUUGGAAGUGAAAACCAUGGGCUCAACCCAUGAAUUGCUUUCAAAACUGUUUUUCUUGAGUAGUGCAGAGGUAGAUGGAAUUCCCGGUGUAGCGGUGGAAUGCGUAGAUAUCGGGAGGAACAC
rnacentral:rRNA from 1 species